GGUCUAUUGGAGAAGCGGCUUAACUCGACGCCCUCUCAAGGCGUUAUUCACGGGUUCGAACCCCGUAUAGAUCACCA
rnacentral:tRNA from 1 species